UACGUAGGGUGCGAGCGUUGUCCGGAAUUAUUGGGCGUAAAGAGCUCGUAGGCGGUGUGUCGCGUCGGCCGUGAAACCUGGGGGCUCAACCUCUGGGCGUGCGGUCGAUACGGGCAUCACUGGAGUUCGGCAGGGGAGACUGGAAUCCUGGUGUUAGCGGUGAAAUGCGCAGACUAUCAGGAGGAACACCGGUGGCGAAGGCGGGUCUCUGGGCCGAUACUGACGCUGGAG
rnacentral:rRNA from 1 species